rnacentral:lncRNA from 1 species
UUCGGAUCCAUUAGAAACAAAAGAACCCCUUAUCCCUCUUUUGCAGAAACCCUAGCGUCAAAAUCUCUCAGCCAAUCUCUCAGCCAAUUCCUUCUUCUUCCCUUCAAUGCACAGCGAUCUACAAGAUGAUAAAGGCGUUUGGUUUAUGAUGUGCUUUUGAAGCAGGCAACUUUAGUUAAAGAUCAAGUUAUUGAGAAGUGAAGAAGUUUGUUCAGAGUAUGCCAAGACACUCUAUUUAGAUGAUGUUGCUUCAGUUGCACUCAUUCCAACUCCAGUUUCAGUUUCAACAAAUCCAAAGUGGCUACUGAACUCGCAUUAAAAUACAUUACACUUAGACCUUUCAGUUGGGAUCAAGAUACUGACAAAGUCAAUGUGAGGGUGUAUUUUUGUGUUAAUUGUCUACCAGUUGUAAGUUUAUAACUAUAUAUUAUUUAUUCUUGCUAGCUUUUAAAUGGAAGGAAAAUUUAUUUACCAGGUACACUUUCUUUUUGUAUCUAGAAGGACCAUUUUCAUUCUUCAUCGUUUUAUGCCUUUUAAUGGGUGAAUGCUUUUGUUACCCACUUAAUUGUGAGUUGGUUGAUUUUGGGUUACCCUUUACCUUUUUAAUCUCUGUCGGGUCAAAUAAAAAACCUAGAUAUGAAGUAAACAGGUCAAAUGGAUUGAAAAUCACCUAAAAUAUAUUAAAGCAUGCAAUCUCUAUCUAUUAGUUUACUUAGAAGGUGAAUAUAGACAUGUUUUGGUAGCCUUCCCACCAGCUAAUGUCAAGUGUAGUUCUUAUUUUCAAGAAAUUAACCGGUGAAUGCUGAGUUUUGAAUAUUAUUUUAUUUUCAUUGUAGUUUGAAUUGACUAUUCAUGCAAUAAAGGUCGUGUUUUUUGUUGCUUACAGGGUAAUACCAACGGUUCUAGGAACAAAACCAGAAUUACUCUGACAAUUUAUGUGUUCUUUUGAACGAAGAUAGAAUCUUGAUUAUAAAAAAGAACUCCAAAUCUAAUGAAUCUGUUUGGUUUCUUGAGGUAAUAGUAUUCACAUUUAUUGAUCUUGAAAUGAUAGCGUUCGUUAGGUUUUAUUAGGUGGACACACAAUUUAGACGAGACCAAAAAAGUUUGAAACAAAAGUUGUUGCUUGGAGUGAGGGGUUAUUGGUAAUGCUGAGCGGCCCAUAGUAAUUAGUAGCCCGUGUAUGUCGGGUUUGUAAUAUGUCAAAAACGUUUUGUCAAGUGAUGGUUUGAUUUGAAUUCACUAAAUUUUAUGGUUUGC